rnacentral:rRNA from 1 species
GGACCUGACUGCUAUCGGAUUGGUACUAAGCCAUGCGAGUCAUUGUAGCAAUACAAGGCGGACGGCUCAGUAACACGUAGUCAACCUAACUCGUGGACGUGGAUAACCUCGGGAAACUGAGAAUAAACCACGAUAGAUCAUAGUGCCUGGAAUGGCUUAUGGUCCAAACAGUUUACUGCCAUGGGAUGGGACUGCGGCCUAUCAGCUUGUUGGUGAGGUAAUGGCCCACCAAGGCGAUUACAGGUACGGGCUCUGAGAGGAGAAGCCCGGAGAUGGGUACUGAGACACGGACCCAGGCCCUAUGGGGCGCAGCAGGCGAGAAACCUUAGCAAUGUGCGAAAGCAGACUGGGUCAGUCCGAGUGAUUCCUGAUAAAGGAGUCUUUUGCUUGUCCUAAAAGCACAGGUGAAUAAGGGGUGGGCAAGUCUGGUGUCAGCCGCCGCGGUAAUACCAGCACCUCGAGUGGUCAGGACGUUUAUUGGGCCUAAAGCAUCCGUAGCCGGCUUUGCAAGUCUUCGGUUAAAUCCACCUGCUCAACAGAUGGGCCGCUGGAGAUACUACAGAGCUAGGGAGUGGGAGAGGCAGACGGUAUUCAGUGGGUAGGGGUAAAAUCCUCUGAUCCAUUGAGGACCACCAGUGGCGAAGGCGGUCUUCCAGAACACGUUCGACGGUGAGGGAUGAAAGCUUGGGGAGCAAACCGGAUUAGAUACCCGGGUAGUCCAGCUGUAAACGAUGCAAACUCGGUGAUGCAWUUGGCUUAUUGGCAAUGCAGUGCCGAGGGAAGCCGUAAGUUUCCGCCUGGGAAGACGGACGAAGCUGAACUUAAAGAAUUGGCGGGAGACMMAAGGGUAAGCUCGGUCAAUUGGGCACGCGGGAGGGGA